AGCAAAGUAGUUUAAGGUAAGAAUAAUAGGUUGUGGGCUUAUUGGAGGAUAGCGUCCCUUUGUUA
rnacentral:tRNA from 1 species